AGCAGCCGCGGUAAUUCCAGCUCCAAUAGCGUAUAUUAAAGUUGUUGCAGUUAAAAAGCUCGUAGUUGAAUUUCGGGAUCAGCAAGUUGGUCGUGCCACUGGUAUGUACUAGCUUUGCUGAUUCCUCCUUCUUGUAGAACCGUAAUGCCAUUAAUUUGGUGUUGCGGGGAAACAGGACUGUUACUUUAGAAAAAUUAGAGUGUUUAAAGCAGGCUAACGCUUGAAUACAUUAGCAUGGAAUAAUGAAAUAGGACGAGCGAUCCUAUUUUGUUGGUUUCUAGGAUUGACGUAAUGAUUAAUAGGGAUAGUUGGGGGCAUUAGUAUUCAAUUGUCAGAGGUGAAAUUCUUGGAUUUAUUGAAGACUAACUACUGCGAAAGCAUUUGCCAAGGAUGUUUUCAUUAAUCAAGAACGAAAGUUAGGGGAUCGAAGACG
rnacentral:rRNA from 1 species